AAGAUGAGAUAUCCCAUAACGUCAAGUUAGUAAGACCCCUUGAAGACGACGAGGUAGAUAGGGCAGAGGUGGAAGUGUGGUAACACAUGGAGCUGACUGUUACUAAUAGGUCGAGGGCAUAACCAAG
rnacentral:rRNA from 1 species